GAAAUAAGCAGAGCUGUUUUUAUUUAUUUCCAUCUUUUUCUUUCCUAAAACCCUCGCUACUCUCUACCCUCCUCACCGCUCGACUCUUCGCCCCCUCCUCACCGCCUCGACUUUCCGCCAUCUUCUCUGCCUCCUCCUCGCUGCCUCGACUUUCCAUCAUCUUCAUUGCUCCUCCUCGCUGCCUCGACUUUCCAUCAUCUUCAUUGCCUCGCUGCCUCCUCCUCACCGACGCCGCCUCUCUCUGCUAGUCAUCAAAGGCUCUAUUCUGAAACGGAUCUUGAAGUUUACUCUCUGGGAUCCAUGGGAUGUAUUGGUGCCAACCAUGGAUGAUCAGGUGUUGUGCUGUGUAGCGGCAGCAGCGUGAAAGACGAUGGAGAUGAUCAACGAGGCGCAAGGCUUUGAUAGGAAUGAUUCGAAGUCCUACAGCAACCCCACAUUCCAAGAUAUGCUUCAUUGUUUGUGAGUUCCCUGGUCCAACAACUUCGUGUAGAUGGUCUUUACAUAAGGCCUCUUGGGAAUGUCAUUUACCUCAUGUGUGGCCCGUGCACAUUGCCACAUGUCUGUACUGAACAACUUCACAAAGUACAUUGUAGAAUUUGUGAAUUCAGCAAGCAUCAAAUUAAAGAAUGAAGUUGUGAAAAAAGGAGCACUGGAGCAAACACUCUUUCUUCUACAUUCAUGAGAAACCUCUUUAUAAUAUUGUAUUAUAAUAUUGUAUGAUUGAUACAUAUUCUACUUAUUUGUAUAGAUUGGAUGUUUAAUCGUUGCUAUAUAAUAGUUAGUUUGUUAGAGAGUUCCUAUCUUGUUUUGGAUCUU